rnacentral:tRNA from 5 species
GGGCCUGUAGCUCAGCUGGUUAGAGCGCACGCCUGAUAAGCGUGAGGUCGGUUGUUCAAGUCAACUCAGGCCCA